GUCCCUCCAAGGACAUUCAAUAAAAUUGGAAUGAUAUAGAGAAAAUUAGUAUGGCCCUGCAUGAAGAUGACACACAUAAAUCGAAAAAGAUUGAAGGCUCGAUUUUU